CUGUAGCAUUUCCGUUUGCAAAAUGUCGUAUGUCUAUAUAUGUUUGGUUGCUUAUUUUACAAAAUGACAAAAACACAUUAUUUUCUAACGAAAAUUGUUCCGUUCGAUACAAUAAAACCAAUGGUGUUGUAUUCAUUUCAGAAGGCUUCCAUUGCUGUGGAGUGCAUUGAACGACAUCAUGGCCUAGAAGAACAUACCCGGGGAUAAUACCAGCAGCAACAAGUAUCACGCAACCGCCAAAAUGCACGCCGCCAUUUUGAAGCAUGUCUGAGUGAACCGAUGGUUUCCAUGGAUUCCAUGAAGAUUCAAUUGAUUUGUUGGUUUUUAAUAGUCCAAUUAUUUUUAAAAAUAAACAUUUUGGUGAA